GUGUGAAUGUACUACAAGCAGAGUCACUUUUUGUAAAUGCUAUCUGGCAUGAUAUAAGAGUCUAGAGUUGCUGAUUACUUCAACUCCUGAAGAAGGGGAUCUCUUUCCCCGAAACAGGGUACAAAAAUACCCGGGCACCCCUGUUGAAUACCAUUUGGACUUUUCCUACAGAGACUUAUUUUGAGAAGCAGUGCUCCAUUUUCACUGGACUUGAUUUGGAUUUAUUCCAUGAAGAUUUUUGAGAGUGGUGCUCCAUCUUCAUUAUUGACUUCAGUAUACAUAUAGCCUCAUGACUCUAUGCUUACUUUGUGUAUGAUUUGUCUCAUUGUAUGUAUCCCUGAAGCCUAUAUACAGUGGUACCCUUGUUCAGACCUGGAACUGUUACAUUUGAGAGCGGUUGCUCCUUUUGAUUUUGUUUUGGGCCACUGAAUUGAGCUAUGUACUCGGGAUUUUGUUAAAUAGCAUACUAUAUGCUCUUUUGACAUUAUAUUUUGACAUUACA